UUCUAAAGAUAACAAAUAUGGCCUGAGAAGGACUCUGUACUUCUACAUUUCAGUCCUUGUGGACGAACUGCAAUCUAGCUUAAUAGGUAGACAAGGUUAAAAACCUAACUUAGGAGUAGGUGCCUGUAACAAUAGCUGAGUCUUGGCCAAUCCCAGCAGCCAUACUUCAACCGUUCAUAAACUGUGGAGUGUUCAGAUUGUGUUCAAAUAAAGCAAACAGAGCUGUAACCAAUCCAGUCAUUCUGUAUGGAUUCAGUAGCUUUCUAUGUCUGAUUUCUGUAUGUCAUUUCCCUUUUUUUGUCCAUAAAUCUUCCA